CCUACGGGAGGCAGCAGUGGGGAAUAUUGGGCAAUGGAGGCAACUCUGACCCAGCAACGCCGCGUGAAUGAUGAAGGUCUUCGGAUUGUAAAGUUCUGUGAUGGGGGAUGAACACAAUGACGGUACCCCAAUAGCAAGCCACGGCUAACUACGUGCCAGCAGCCGCGGUAAUACGUAGGUGGCAAGCGUUAUCCGGAAUGACUGGGCGUAAAGGGUGCGUAGGUGGUUUAGUAAGUUGGCGGUGUAAUUCCGGGGCUCAACCUCGGCGCUACCGCCAAAACUAUUAGACUAGAGUGCAGGGGGGGUAAGUGGAAUUCCUAGUGUAGCGGUGGAAUGCGUAGAUAUUAGGAGGAACAUCAGGGGCGAAGGCGACUUACUGGACUGUAGCUGACACUGAGGCACGAAAGCGUGGGGAGCAAACAGGAUUAGAUACCCCGGUAGUC
rnacentral:rRNA from 1 species